rnacentral:lncRNA from 1 species
AUGCUGCUGGAGAAAUGCCUGGGCAAGGGGCAGAGCAACCACUGCUGCACAAGGUCUCAGGCACAGGAACAGAGAGUGACCUGCCACCAAGGAGAAAAAGAAAGGAGGAAGGAGAGUGACUUGCCACUCCACCCUGCUUCUCUCUGGACCUGGGAACUCAUCCUCACUGCUUCUGAUACUGAGAAUGGAAAUCCAGGGGCUUCAAUCCAACAUUUCUCUUAAGUUACUCAUUCACAAAGUGUAUUAUCCUAUUUUAUUUAUUUAUUUAUUUUCAAGAUGGGGUCUUGCUCUUUCGCCAGGAUGGAGUAGAGUGGCACCAUCUCAGCUCACUGCAACCUCCACAUCCUGGGCUCAAGUGAUUCUUCUGCCUCAGCCUCCCAAGUAGCUGGGAUUACAGGUGAGCACCACCAUGUCCAGAUAAUUUUGGAAUUUUUAGUAGAGACGGGGUUUCAGCAUGUUGGCCAGGAUGGUCUCAAUCUCUUGACCUCAUGAUCUGCCAGUCUCAGCCUCCCAAAGCGCUGGAAUUACAGGCGUGAGCCACCAUACCCAGCCUAUUUAUUUUAUUUUAUUCUUUGCUCCCUUGUUUGAACAUGGGAUCUGUGAGUGAUUCAAAGUGUAAACUUUGAAUGCCAUUUUGACAGGAAGUCUACAUUAUUUUAUUACCUAUUUUUAAACAAACUAAACAUUGCAUCCUAAUCCCACUCCUCUUAAUGGCAUUAAGAGGUUAAUGCUGAACUGAAGCUGUAACAUGGGGAGAAAGCACACACUCACACCAUACACUACUUAAUCAGCACGCCUCAUCCUCACUCAAAUAAGAGGGAGCUACAAUGGCUUUAAACUUCUCCCUCUUAUACAAAAAUAAAAAGAUAAAUUACAUGAGACAUUUUUCUCAUGAAAGAAAGAUGACAUUUUUUCACAUUCACUCAGGGAUAGUGAUUUGAUGUCCUGUAUCAGUUUGGAAGAGUGAAUUGGGCAGUGGUCACCUCUUGCCUCUCUGCUACUUCCUCCUAGAAGUUGCAUGUAGCCUCAUGACUCUUGUAUCCACAUACUGGUCAUCAGCUAAGAAAAGCCUAUAAGAAUGAAGCAUUGGUUUAUCCUCCUCCCCACAAAAAACAAAACCCAAUGUUUAAUAUGAAUUGUAAUGGAUUUUGAAAUCUAAGAUAAAUGAUACUUUAAAAAUAAACAGCUUGGAAUAAUUCUUGUGAUGUUGUUCUCCCUUUUUUGGCAAAGAAUGAAAUUGAGAAGAUGAAGGAGGUUUACAUUUGGACUUGUUUUAAAUUUUAAGAAGCUGUUCUUUUAAAUUUACCAUCUGUUACUUCAAUACUUCUAAGUGUCUAUGGUAACUGUUCAGGGAUACCAGGCAGAACCAUGGUGUAAUUGGGUAUGGCUUGACCCCUACUGUGCCUUUCUCAUGGAAGGAGACCAACUCAUUGUGAGUCUCAUCACAUUACAAGAGCAUUUCCCUGAAAAUAUGUUAGCCUUCUGGUUAAUGCACAGCAGAGACAAGAAUUAGUUAUAGAUAUUUUUGUAAGCCAUUUGAAUUACAGGGUGCUAAUCUGAGAAGAAAAUUCUACCAUCCUUCUGAGGUGAACCUCCACACAAACUAUAGUAUUUUAACAUUAUAUGCUAGAUCUUAAAUAACACCAAGUAAAUAUGUUUAAGCCAUGCAAUUAGUCUUUGAUUAAGAAAGAAUGAUCCGUAUUGCCAGUUUGCAGAUUCCAUUGUUUUCCUGAGAUGCUUUUGAGUUGAAGAAAUUACAAGAAAUACAUUGGGUUUAUUAAAACUUUUACUUUAAGUUCAAGGGUACAUGUGCAGGAUGGACAAGUUUGUUGCAUAGGUAAAUGUGUGUCAUGGUAGUUUGUUAAAUACGGAUUAUUUCAUCAUCCAGGUAUUAAGUAUCCAUUAGUUAUUUUUCCUGAUCCCUUCCUCCACCUCCCUCCUCCCACCCUCCACCUUCAGAUAAGCACCAGUGUAUGUCAUUCUUCUCUAUGUGCCCAUGUGUUAUUUAGGUCUCCCUUAUAAGGGAGAACAUGCUGUAUUUGGUUUUCUGUUCCUGUGUUAGUUUGCUAAGGUUAAUGACCUCCAGUUCCAUCCAUGUCUCUGAAAAAGACAUGAUCUCAUUCUUUUUUAUGGUUGCAUAUUCCACAGUGUAUAUGUACCACAUUUUCUUUAUCCAGCCUAUAAUUGAUGGGCAUUUAGGUUGAUUCCAUGUCUUCACUAUUGUGAAUAGUGCUGCAGUGAACACACAUGUGCACGUGUCUUUUAAAAAAAAUUUUUUCCAUAGACUGUUGGGGUACAGGUGGUAUUUGGUUACAUGAGUAAGUUCUUUAGUGGUGAUUUGUGAGAUUUUGGUUCACCCAACACCUAAGCAGUAUACAUUUCACCCUAUUUGCAGUAUUUUAUUCCUCAUCCCCAUUUUUUUCCCCAAGUCCCCAAAGUCCAUCCUAUCAUUCUUAUGCCUUUGCAUUCUCCUAGCUUAACUCUCACAUAUCAGUGAGAACAUAUGAUGUUUGGUUUUUCAUUCCUGUGUUACUUCACUUAGAAUAAUAAUCUCCAA